rnacentral:rRNA from 1 species
AGUGAACGCUGGCGGCAGGCCUAACACAUGCAAGUCGAGCGGCAGCGGGUCCUUCGGGAUGCCGGCGAGCGGCGGACGGGUGAGGAAUGCAUCGGAAUCUGCCCUGUCGUGGGGGAUAACCUAGGGAAACUUAGGCUAAUACCGCAUACGACCCACGGGUGAAAGCGGGGGAUCGCAAGACCUCGCGCGAUAGGAUGAGCCGAUGUCCGAUUAGCUAGUUGGCGGGGUAAAGGCCCACCAAGGCGACGAUCGGUAGCUGGUCUGAGAGGAUGAUCAGCCACACUGGGACUGAGACACGGCCCAGACUCCUACGGGAGGCAGCAGUGGGGAAUAUUGGACAAUGGGCGCAAGCCUGAUCCAGCCAUGCCGCGUGUGUGAAGGAGGCCUUCGGGUUGUAAAGCCCUUUUGUCCGGGAAGAAAUCGUCUGGGCUAAUACCCCGGGCGGAUGACGGUACCGGAAGAAUAAGCACCGGCUAACUUCGUG